GAUGAAGAAAGCAGCGAAUUGCGAUAAGUAAUGUGAAUUGCAGAAUUCAGUGAAUCAUCGAAUCUUUGAACGCAGCUUGCGCUCUCUGGUAUUCCGGAGAGCAUGCCUGUUUCAGUGUCAUGAAAUCUCAACCACUAGGGUUUCCUAAUGGAUUGGAUUUGGGCGUCUGCGAUUUCUGAUCGCUCGCCUUAAAAGAGUUAGCAAGUUUGACAUUAAUGUCUGGUGUAAUAAGUUUCACUGGGUCCAUUGUGUUGAAGCGUGCUUCUAAUCGUCCGCAAGGACAAUUACUUUGACUCUGGCCUGAAAUCAGGUAGGACGACCCGCUGAACUUAAGCAUAUCAAUAAGCGGAGGA
rnacentral:misc_RNA from 1 species